rnacentral:piRNA from 1 species
GUUUAGGAUGGCCUCGGAUUA